rnacentral:rRNA from 1 species
UACAGAGGGGGCAAGCGUUAUUCGGAAUUAUUGGGCGUAAAGGGCGCGUAGGCGGCCCUGUAAGUCUUGGGUGAAAUCCCUCAGCUCAACUGAGGAACUGCCUCGGAUACUGCAGGCUUGAGGCCGGGAGAGGGUAGUGGAAUUCCCAGUGUAGCGGUGAAAUGCGUAGAUAUCUGGAGGAACACCGGUGGCGAAGGCGGCAUCCUGGACCAAUACUGACACUGAGGAGCGAAAGCCAGGGGAGCAAACGGG